rnacentral:lncRNA from 1 species
GAUUAUUCAUACCUACUAUAAUCAUUACAAUAUAAAUAUUUGGUCUAGCAAAUUUAAUCAAUUUAUUCACACACCAUUAAAAAUACACUUAUAUAUAUACCUAAAGUUACGUAUUAAAUGGAAAAGUAGUAGUCAAUAUUUGAAUAACUUAAUUAUUGAUCAUUUAAUGUCAUCCAUGGUUUAACAUUAAAAGCAGAUUCUUAGUAACUAUGUCUAAUCAUAUAAUUACAUUUUAUAAUUUAAUAAGUAAUCACAUCUAAAUGUUUAAUACAAUUCAAUAUGGCCAAAUAUACCAAUAAUAAACAUGUACAUAUUGCGCAGCCAACUAAGCUAAUAUAUA